rnacentral:rRNA from 1 species
AACGAACGCUGGCGGCAGGCCUAACACAUGCAAGCCGAGCGAAGCCUUCGGGCUUAGCGGCGGACGGGUGAGUAACGCGUGGGAACGUGCCCGUUGGUACGGAAUAGCCCCGGGAAACUGGGAGUAAUACCGUAUGUGCCCUUCGGGGGAAAGAUUUAUUGCCAAAGGAUCGGCCCGCGUUGGAUUAGGUAGUUGGUGGGGUAAUUGCCUACCAAGCCGACCAUCCAUUGCUGGUUUGAGAGGAUGAUCAGCCACACUGGGACUGAGACACGGCCCAGACUCCUACGUGAGGCAGCAGUGGGGAAUCUUAGACAAUGGGGGAAACCCUGAUCUAGCCAUGCCGCGUGAUCGAUGAAGGCCUUAGGGUUGUAAAGAUCUUUCAGUGGGGAAGAUAAUGACUGUACCCACAGAAGAAGCCCCGGCUAACUCCGUGCCAGCAGCCGCCGUAAAAC